rnacentral:rRNA from 1 species
UACAGAGGUCCCAAGCGUUGUUCGGAUUCAUUGGGCGUAAAGGGUGCGUAGGCGGCGCGGUAAGUCGGGUGUGAAAUCUCGGGGCUUAACUCCGAAACUGCAUUCGAUACUGCCGUGCUUGAGGACUGGAGAGGAGACUGGAAUUUACGGUGUAGCGGUGAAAUGCGUAGAUAUCGUAAGGAAGACCAGUGGCGAAGGCGGGUCUCUGGACAGUUCCUGACGCUGAGGUGCGAGAGCGUGGGGAGCGAACCGG